rnacentral:tRNA from 1 species
GCGGAUGUGGCGAAAUUGGCAGACGCGCUGGAUUUAGGUUCCAGUUCCUGUAAUGGGAGUGUAGGUUCAAGUCCUAUCAUCCGCACCA